rnacentral:lncRNA from 1 species
GAGCUAACGGGCCAAUGGAUCAUGUCUGGCACAGCCUGCCACCUUUGGGGCUUAAGGCCGUGUCAGGCAAGGUUUUUGUUUAAAUGGGCCAUGCCAAGCACGGUCCGUUAAACCCUCAACCUAAUGGGCUUGGGCCGUGCCAUGCCGGGCAUGGCCCAUUGCCCAUGUCUAACCAACCACAAGUCUCUCCACUUACAACCUCAUUCUCGCAAAGGAUAUACCCACCCAAGUAGCCCACAACUCUAAUAUUAUCGAGUAGGUGACUCCCGCCAGUUGCCACGAAUAUGAAAUCA